rnacentral:rRNA from 1 species
AGCGUACACGGUGGAUGCCCUGGCAGUCAGAGGCGAUGAAGGACGUGCUAAUCUGCGAUAAGCGUCGGUAAGGUGAUAUGAACCGUUAUAACCGGCGAUUUCCGAAUGGGGAAACCCAGUGUGAUUCGUCACACUAUCAUUAACUGAAUCCAUAGGUUAAUGAGGCGAACCGGGGGAACUGAAACAUCUAAGUACCCCGAGGAAAAGAAAUCAACCGAGAUUCCCCCAGUAGCGGCGAGCGAACGGGGAGCAGCCCAGAGCCUGAAUCAGUGUGUGUGUUAGUGGAAGCGUCUGGAAAGGCGCGCGAUACAGGGUGACAGCCCCGUACACAAAAAUGCACAUGCUGUGAGCUCGAUGAGUAGGGCGGGACACGUGGUAUCCUGUCUGAAUAUGGGGGGACCAUCCUCCAAGGCUAAAUACUCCUGACUGACCGAUAGUGAACCAGUACCGUGAGGGAAAGGCGAAAAGAACCCCGGCGAGGGGAGUGAAAAAGAACCUGAAACCGUGUACGUACAAGCAGUGGGAGCACGCUUAGGCGUGUGACUGCGUACCUUUUGUAUAAUGGGUCAGCGACUUAUAUUCUGUAGCAAGGUUAACCGAAUAGGGGAGCCGAAGGGAAACCGAGUCUUAACUGGGCGUUAAGUUGCAGGGUAUAGACCCGAAACCCGGUGAUCUAGCCAUGGGCAGGUUGAAGGUUGGGUAACACUAACUGGAGGACCGAACCGACUAAUGUUGAAAAAUUAGCGGAUGACUUGUGGCUGGGGGUGAAAGGCCAAUCAAACCGGGAGAUAGCUGGUUCUCCCCGAAAGCUAUUUAGGUAGCGCCUCGUGAAUUCAUCUCCGGGGGUAGAGCACUGUUUCGGCAAGGGGGUCAUCCCGACUUACCAACCCGAUGCAAACUGCGAAUACCGGAGAAUGUUAUCACGGGAGACACACGGCGGGUGCUAACGUCCGUCGUGAAGAGGGAAACAACCCAGACCGCCAGCUAAGGUCCCAAAGUCAUGGUUAAGUGGGAAACGAUGUGGGAAGGCCCAGACAGCCAGGAUGUUGGCUUAGAAGCAGCCAUCAUUUAAAGAAAGCGUAAUAGCUCACUGGUCGAGUCGGCCUGCGCGGAAGAUGUAACGGGGCUAAACCAUGCACCGAAGCUGCGGCAGCGACGCUGAUGCGUUGUUGGGUAGGGGAGCGUUCUGUAAGCCUGCGAAGGUGUGCUGUGAGGCAUGCUGGAGGUAUCAGAAGUGCGAAUGCUGACAUAAGUAACGAUAAAGCGGGUGAAAAGCCCGCUCGCCGGAAGACCAAGGGUUCCUGUCCAACGUUAAUCGGGGCAGGGUGAGUCGACCCCUAAGGCGAGGCCGAAAGGCGUAGUCGAUGGGAAACAGGUUAAUAUUCCUGUACUUGGUGUUACUGCGAAGGGGGGACGGAGAAGGCUAUGUUGGCCGGGCGACGGUUGUCCCGGUUUAAGCGUGUAGGCUGGUUUUCCAGGCAAAUCCGGAAAAUCAAGGCUGAGGCGUGAUGACGAGGCACUACGGUGCUGAAGCAACAAAUGCCCUGCUUCCAGGAAAAGCCUCUAAGCAUCAGGUAACAUCAAAUCGUACCCCAAACCGACACAGGUGGUCAGGUAGAGAAUACCAAGGCGCUUGAGAGAACUCGGGUGAAGGAACUAGGCAAAAUGGUGCCGUAACUUCGGGAGAAGGCACGCUGAUAUGUAGGUGAAGUGAUUUACUCAUGGAGCUGAAAUCAGUCGAAGAUACCAGCUGGCUGCAACUGUUUAUUAAAAACACAGCACUGUGCAAACACGAAAGUGGACGUAUACGGUGUGACGCCUGCCCGGUGCCGGAAGGUUAAUUGAUGGGGUCAGCGCAAGCGAAGCUCUUGAUCGAAGCCCCGGUAAACGGCGGCCGUAACUAUAACGGUCCUAAGGUAGCGAAAUUCCUUGUCGGGUAAGUUCCGACCUGCACGAAUGGCGUAAUGAUGGCCAGGCUGUCUCCACCCGAGACUCAGUGAAAUUGAACUCGCUGUGAAGAUGCAGUGUACCCGCGGCAAGACGGAAAGACCCCGUGAACCUUUACUAUAGCUUGACACUGAACAUUGAGCCUUGAUGUGUAGGAUAGGUGGGAGGCUUUGAAGUGUGGACGCCAGUCUGCAUGGAGCCGACCUUGAAAUACCACCCUUUAAUGUUUGAUGUUCUAACGUGGACCCGUAAUCCGGGUUGCGGACAGUGUCUGGUGGGUAGUUUGACUGGGGCGGUCUCCUCCUAAAGAGUAACGGAGGAGCACGAAGGUUGGCUAAUCCUGGUCGGACAUCAGGAGGUUAGUGCAAUGGCAUAAGCCAGCUUGACUGCGAGCGUGACGGCGCGAGCAGGUGCGAAAGCAGGUCAUAGUGAUCCGGUGGUUCUGAAUGGAAGGGCCAUCGCUCAACGGAUAAAAGGUACUCCGGGGAUAACAGGCUGAUACCGCCCAAGAGUUCAUAUCGACGGCGGUGUUUGGCACCUCGAUGUCGGCUCAUCACAUCCUGGGGCUGAAGUAGGUCCCAAGGGUAUGGCUGUUCGCCAUUUAAAGUGGUACGCGAGCUGGGUUUAGAACGUCGUGAGACAGUUCGGUCCCUAUCUGCCGUGGGCGCUGGAGAACUGAGGGGGGCUGCUCCUAGUACGAGAGGACCGGAGUGGACGCAUCACUGGUGUUCGGGUUGUCAUGCCAAUGGCACUGCCCGGUAGCUAAAUGCGGAAGAGAUAAGUGCUGAAAGCAUCUAAGCACGAAACUUGCCCCGAGAUGAGUUCUCCCUGACUCCUUGA